UGUACUCCUGAGCGCUCCUGGACAGGUACGUGCUGUGCAGCACGCGAAACACUGGUAAGCUUUAGAUUUUGUAUUAAUAUUGUUUCUUCUUUUCAGACCAGUGUUCUGUGGCUGCAGUGCAGAGUCUGCUGACGGCGUCAUGCGCGUGUAGCGUCGGACAGCCGAGAGGGUGUGCGCCACAUAAAGCAGUCCAUCCUCCUCCGACCAGUGUAUCAUCAGUGUAUCUGCUGCUGCUGCAUCCGACAGUUGCCACAUAAUGGAUGGCCGGGGCGGCAGAGUAAACAGUCCGGGGCGUGAGCUGUGUGCAGGGGAGGUCAGAUGUGUUGAUUUAUGGCCCCCAUGAUAAAUCACCUCCUCUUUCAGGGAGGAGGUCACCGUCAGGAUUCUCCCGACUCAAGAGCAUCUGUGGAUUCAGCUGUGGCCUCCCUGACCCGAAGGCAGAGCCACCGAUGUCGAUUCUCCUCCUCCUCCUUGUCACUCGUCUCCUCCCCAUCCUUCUUUUCUUUGCUCCUUCACCUCCUCCUACUCGAGCACUUUCCUUUCGCCAUCCAUCUCUUGUUUUUGCAAUCUCACAUUCCCUGUCCUCCCCUCUUUCUCUUGCAUAUCUUUAUCUUUGUGUUUAUUUCUCCUCCGAUUUCUGUCUCAAAUGUCACCAAACCUCUUUCUCUUGCUCCUUCUCCUCUUACAGUUUAAUCUUCUCCUCCUUUGUCUCAUUCCCCUCCUGCUCCUUCCCCCCUUCGUCCAUUUCCUUUCUUUGCUCAUCUUCUCUCUUCCAGCUUCCUCCUCCUCUUUCUCCUGUUUAAUCAGACAGCAUGCAUUAAUGAUCAUCUGAAAAAAAUAGACAUGCUUGGACAUAUUUACAAAGCUGAGGGUGAUUUUUCUCUGCAAAUUUCCAUUUCAGCAGGGGUAUUUUCUUACAUCUAAACAAUAAUAGGAUUUGUGACAUAUUUUUUCUCAAUAGUUUGUGCAAUAUCAGUUUUUGUAUCAUUUGUAGCAUUUUAUGUCAUGGUAAUAUUUCAUAUUUUCAUUUCUCAGGUGCAAUAUUUCACUUUCAUGUGCAACACUGCAAUAUUUUCCAUUCUUGUCAAAUUUUUCAGGUACAAUACUUAAUGUGUUAUUUUACUUAAUACCUCAGUAUAAUUGACAGCAUUACAUUUCACUGUUCGAUUCUAACCGUAUUUCAGGUUAUUUAUUUUAUUUUAGCAUUGCAUUGUACUCACACCGAUCAGGCAUAACAUUAUGAUCCCUGACAGAUGAAGUGAAAAACGCUGAUUAUCUUUUCAUCAUGGCACCUCUUGGUGGGUUGGAUAUAUUAAGCCACAAGUGAACAUUUUGUCCACAAAGUUGAUGUGUUAGAAGCAGGAAAAAUAGACAAGCGUAAGGCUAUGAAUGAGUUUGACUAGACGACUGGAUCAGAGCAUCUCCAGAACUGCAGCUCUUGAGGGAUGUUCCUGGUCUGCAGUGGUCAGCAUCUAUCAAAAAUUAAAUUAAAAUUAAAUUAAGGAAGGAACAGUGUUGAACUGGCGACAGGGUCAUUUACAGUCAAGUCUCACUGAUGCACAUGGGGAGCGAAGGCUGGCCCAUGUGGUCUGAUCCACCAGACAAGAUACUGUUGCCCAAAUUGCUGAAGAAGUUAAAGCUGGUUCUGAUAGAAAGGUGUCAGAAUACACAGAGCAUCGGAGUCUGUUGCUGCGUAGCUGCAGACCAGUCAGGGUGUCCAUGCUGACCACUGUGCACCGCCGAAAGCACCAACAGUGGACAUGUGAGCAUCGGAACUGGACCACAGAGCAAUGGAAGAAUGUGGCCUGGUCUGAUGAAUCAUGUUUUCUUUUACAUCACAUGGAUGGCCGGGUGUGCUGCUUACCUGGAGAACGCAUGGCACCAGGAUGCAUUAUGGGAAGAAGGCAAGCCGGCAGAUGCAGUGUCAUGCUGUAGGUAAUGUUCUGUCAGGAAACCUUGGGUUCUGCCAUCCAAGUGGAUGUUACUUUGACAUGUACCUCCUACCUAAGCAUUGUUGCAGACCAUGUAGACCCUUUCAUGGAAACGGUAUUCCCUGAUGACUGUGGUCUCUUUCAGCACGAUAGAGUGCCAUAUCACAAAGCAAAAAUGGUUCAGGAAUAGUUUGAGGAGCACAACAAGCAGUUUGAGGUGUUGACUUGGCCUCCAAAUUCCCCAGAUCUCAAUCCAAUCCAGCAUCUGUGGGAUGUUUUGGACAAACAAGUCCAAUCCAUCCACCCCACCUCCCAACUUCCAGGACCUGAAGGAUCUGCUGCUAACAUCUUGGUGCCAGAUACCACAGCAUACCUUCAGGAGUCUAGUGGAGCCUCAAUGGGCCAGGAAAAGAGGGACCAACACAAUAUUAGGCAAGUGGUCAUAAUCUUAUGUCUGAUCAAUUUGUAUCUCAUUGCUUUUCUACUUUUCAGGCAAUGCAUUUUUUAGUUUAUGUCAUUUUGUUUUUUCGUUUUAACAAAAUCUGGCACAGAGAUUUUCUUCUAGAUUGGAAGUUAUAUCUUAUUAUUUUAUCUUCUUUACUAAGGCUGCAGUUGUUUAAUAGCAGCUCAUUUUGUACAUGACACCUGAUGCCGAACACGUGUUUCACAUGUUUGGGAAGAAAAGGAGCACAAAAGUAAGUGUUUGCUGCUGUUUAGCUAACUGGAUUUCAUGUAUGACGAGACGUAUCAAAGCAACAAAACAGUCUGUAGCUGAUUUACUUCCUUUAAAGGGGUCAUUUCUGCAGUAAAUGAUAAUGUAUGGAGCAACAUACAUAAUUACUUGGGAGAUGUUAAAAGUCUGGAAUAAUAAGCGGGAGGCAGCUGCAGUAAACAGAGAUGAAAAGACGUGGGAGAAAUGAGUUGCUUGCCUUUAGAUUAGAGUCCAGCUACACACUGUGUGACCUUGUUCGUUCAAAAUAUAAGACCUUUAGAAGCGGGGACAUCUCUCAGAAAUAAACAGACGCAGAUGGAUUUUUUGAACCCAAGGUGAUUAUGCUUACUGAACAUGGUCACUGAAAGCGCUGGAGUCUAUUCUUCUGUGGUUCUAACACACCUGUGUGCUAGGAAAAGGUGAGCCGCAACAGAAAACGUAACAAACCUUCAGACGUUAUAUACACUUCAUUUACAUCGGUUUAAUUACAGUUACUGUGUUUAUUUAAAUUCUUUAUAGAGUUUUAUACACACUGUUGCUAUUUGAAGACAGAGAUUUUCAACAUUACAAGCUGAAAAACAUCACAGAAUUAACACAAUAGUUUCCUUGAUACUAUUAAUUGUCUAUUUCCACCUUUGCUACAGAGUGCACUGUCCUUUACAGCCUCAUCAGUAUUUCUCCAGUCUGCUGGGAGAAUAUUAGCUGUAAAUAUGCAAUAAUAUUCAUGCUCAGAAGAUGAUCACAGUCUCUAGGUCUUUUUUUCACUGUCAUGUCCAAAUAGUUCUGCAUAUUUCUGCACAGCACCGAUAGUUUGUGGAAUUUUUUACAUUUUAAGGUGAAAAUAUGCCUCUAAGGUGACAGCUGCUGUAAGGUUAGGUUUACGCCAAGGUUAGGGUUAAGAGGUGUGUUGUGUAGUCCUGAUCCCAAUAAGUUUUGCUCACAAGGGAAGGCGGAGAAGCCCAAAUGGCCAAACCCAGAGUGAAGAUCUGUGUACUGAAUGCACCACAACUGAAUAUGAAAAGUCUGUCAGUAGUUCAAACUGAAGUCCGGCUUUUAAAGUCGCAGGAACUGAAGUAUGAAGUGUGCUGAAAUUACUGAUGAUAUCAUUAACGCAGUGAGACUCUGCUGAUUAGAAAGACGCUGUUUCUAAUUCACUUUAAUAUACAUUUAGAGUACAACUAAAUUAAUAUCAAGGCAGAGCUAUUUUAUAUUCAGAACUACACUGUAAAAAGAUCUCUGUAAAAAAAUGGUGGAAAUUUGACAACAGUUGUGUAAGGAACAAUAUGAUGAAAAAAAUGAUAAAUGCUGUGACAAAAAACGGUGAAAACAACGGCAAAUUUGUAAAAUACUGAUAUGUUUAGCUGUUCUGAAUACAGCAAAACAGUAUGACUUUACGGUCACAUCUUGUGAAAGACCAAAUUACUCUUUAAUACAUUAUUUACACUUUUGAUCUGUUUUUUUCUUUAUUCUUUUUUCAUACUGAUUUUAAUAGAUAUGAUCUGUAAUUUAUGAAAAUAGGGAAAAUCUGUGAAAUAACAGAAAAUUACAAAUUCAGUUACAAACUGUAAACAAAAAAGAAAACUUUUUUAUUUUUUUUUACAGCGUACCAAAUUUGUAUUUUCUAUAAUAUUGUAGAAUUGUAAUAAAUAAUGUAACACAUAAUAAUAUUAAUAUUUGAACUUGAUUGGUAAAUUACAUCUUAGAUUAAAAAUAUUGCUGAGACAACAGCACUGUCAGUAAAUUAUCAUACGGUUUUUGGGGCAAUUUUUUUCUUCUUUUUUGUUUAUAUUUUUUAUUUACACACCUCAAUAUAAAUCAGAAACAAAAGUGGAAUACUUCUGCAAAAUACAGUUUUGACAAAAGUGUAAAAUUAAAUGCCUUAAAUAAUUCCAUAAGCAUAUAAGGACCAUGCAGUUAAAUAAAAAUAACAAUAAAAUCAAAAAUGGGGAAAAAAUCUACAAAAUUUAAAUUUUACCUUAAUAAAGACCUAAACAUUGGGAUUUGUCUUCCAAAUGCUCAUGACGAUCUACAGAACACACUGAAAUUCAUAUUGAGCAAAUGUUAGUUGUAUAGUUCAUGUUCCCCCAAUUUUUACCCAUUUAAAAAUAAAAAGAAAUUUUAAAAAUAACUUGUUCUGCUGCAGUUUAUGAGUAAAAGUAAUUGUUUUCAUGUUGAAGCAGCGUUGAAGUGGCCCUAUCUGGUCUCCAUAGUACAAGGUUUAAAUGCAACGUCCGUGAGCCAUUUUUAAUUUAUUUUUAUUAUAUAGUCAUUGCUGGUUAUUAUUAUGUGUGCUCGAGAUGUUUUUUUAAACUGAAUCUGGGAUAAAAUAUGAGUUUGUAAGCCUGACGGUGUGUUUAAACCCAGUCACCCGGUAGCAGAUAGAGAAAAACACUGUGCGAUCAAUGAUCCUCAUCAGUAUGGAGCAGCUGAUCUCUGGCUCUCGGCCUCAUCCUCGGCUCCUCUCAUUACCUCACAUUCUGGUAAACACAUGUGGAUGCGGCGAUGGGAAGUUUUCACUCUGGAGCUCCGUGUUUGGGUUCAUGCUGCACGCUGACCUCACAUACGUGACCGUGUUGGUAUGUGCAUGUGAUGUUGUGACGGGCGGACGUCACCUAGCGAGGCUGUUUGUGUUUGUUUGUGUUGCCGGACCCUGUCAUUUGAUUACAGGUCACACUAAUCUAAUCAUCCAGCUGUGAGCUCAGUGUGCAGGCAGUUUAUGAGAGGGACUGCAGCGCUGCCGAACAUAGACCUCAGUCUGUCACCGUGUUACCUUUCGCUCAAUGACAAGCUGUGUCUGGGCCGACUCUGAUAGCCGGCGGCUGUUUCCCAGACUGAUUACCGAGGCAGUGAUCGGCCUUUGCUUCGGUACAGACACCUCUCCGGCUCCGGUUGGACACGGGAGCGUAAACAAGGCCUCCCGAACACAUGCAGGCCUCUCUGAGGAGCUGGAAGAUGUCCAGGUGUGAUGGAGGUCGGAGAUAAAGCUGCUAUCGGUGUGACUUACAGGACUGGACGGGACUCAGCUCCCGCUCCCUGAAAUCAUAUUGACAGGAAGUAUGGCUCCCUCAGAUGAACCCUUCGUCUGGUUUUUCCUUCUCGCGGCCGCUUGCGAGGGUUGGCAGCUGAUACAGAUUUUCUCAGGCUCAAUCAGCUGAGCGGCUUGAGGAAGAUGCUCGAGGAGAAGGUGGCAAAAUAAAAGGCUUCAUGGAGAGCCGUGCAGCUGCAGAGGCAAAAGCAGAUGGGUUGAUUCAUGUCGGAAUCAGCGACUUCUUAGUGUUUUUUGCACUGUUUGUUGAAUUAAAGCUGCAGCUAAUAAGAUGACAUGCUAGUGCAAUGUUGUGAAAACUUGCAGGCUUUCAUUCAUGGAGACAACCAAACAAGCAGCACACAAAGAGACAAAUAAAAACCACCAGUCCCAAACCAUCAUUACCAGUAAUUAGUAGUGUCAUGUUGUAAUUAAAACUGGGAUCUGGGCUUAUCAAGGCCUUUUUAAUUGAUUGGUAUCUGCUUUAUUGAAUACAAACCUUAGUUUAAUCUUGUUGUAAAGGGAGAGCAUGAUUUAUUUCUCAAUGCUAGAGAUGCAAAUUUGGGGUAUUUUUUGUAAUCAAUAAUUAGCAGGAUAAUCAAUUAAUAAUCAAUUAGUUAAUAACAACAAUUUAAAGCAGUUAAUUUUGUUUAGACCCAUGAUAUGUGCUGCAAAGGGGACUAUGUUACAUAUACAAAUGCUGUUUGUAUGUCUUAAACACAUGAGCUCUGGUCGGAUGUCAUUAAGCAUCACAGAAGUCUUUGUCAUGGUGCCCAUUUGUGACUCCCUCCAUGUCAGGCUCCUAGCAGGAGCCGCCUCCCUCUUCCCUCUACCUUCCUUUUCUCCUCAGGUGGGCAUGCAGACAGGUGCUACCAAUCCGUUCAUCAAGAAUUAGCACGCUACUUGGUGCCAGACCAUUGAACAGCCUCAUCCUGGACUACCUGCCAGCCGUGUUGGAUUCCCUGCCACCUCCUCCGCCUGGUACACAAGUCACCUGGACCCCUCUGCAACUCUGCCUCCAUCUGAAUCCACACAUCCACCGGUAUGUGUUCAGGUCAGGAAACCCAGGCAAGAGAUUGGCUACAGGUUGACCACUGGUUUUGUGUCGGCAGAACGUUUGGUCUUUAGCGUUUCAAGGUCGAUCCUUUGUCUGAAAGCCACUCAGAAUGUGAUCAAAACAUUAGGAUUCAAUCUUAUUUGAGAUUUAGGGGAGUUAAACAGGUUUCAUGGAGCAGAGAGUUGUACAUUUUGCUUUUUAGUCAGUACUUUGCAACCCUCUCUUAGUGUUUUGCAUCCAAACUACCACUUUGGCAUCCAUUGCUUUAUGCAGCUUACUGUAUGUAGACAUGGUUUUACUGCUGAAGCUACAAAGAGUGUCAAUGUACUGCUGCUGCUGCUCCAGUUGUUUGCUGCUGCGUCUCAGCGUAUAGAAUCUAUUGAUUGUAGGGUUGUCAGAUUGAUGCGUGACUCUUCCUGUAAACAACAUGUCAAAGUGUCCUUGAGCCAAGACACU